AUGGAACGCCGUUUGGGUCUUUGCACGUAAACACGUGCAACGUAAACUAUUGUAACACUAUGUACAUAUUGUUGUACAGUUGAAUGGCAAUCACAUGUACUUACAAGGAUGGCCAGUCUCACAGGAGGGUGAUUUUUAACUGAGGUGAAGGUGGAGUGGAGUGAAGUGCUUGAUUGCCAAAAUCAACAUAACUCUUCUUUUGGCAAUUGGCAUGGGAUUGUCAAGAAUGUGGACAGCUGGUUGUCGAACCAGAUCAGAACGCCUUCGAGGACAACCUUCAGGCACAGGAUGUGGAGGUGAGAUUGAACAAGGACAAGGUGCUGGAGAAACAGGAGAGCUACCAGAGGAGAAUCAAGGAGGGGACCAAGAGCUUUGACCUCCGUAUGAAUGGCUUGGUUUGGAAGAACGACGAAAGGAAGGGAUCACCCUUUCCAUCAAUCCCAGUGUCAUAAAGAAAUUACAGACAGGACCUAGUGGUUCUGCCCAACUCCCAGACGUGGAUCCACCUGAUGUCCUCCAUUACCUGUUCUCCAGGACCUAGUGGUUCUGUCCAACACCCAGACGCGGAUCCACCUGAUGUCCUCCAUUACCUGUUCUCCAGGACCUAGUGGUUCUGCCCAACACCCAGACCCACCUGAUGUCCUCCAUUACCAACCACCCUUCAACUUUUCAUUAAAUCAUCUACAGCUAC